rnacentral:lncRNA from 1 species
UGCCAACGCACUUGAUAAUCAUACUACAUCUACUCUGCAGCAUCAUUUUGCUUCUGGUUCAUCACCCUAUAGGAAUUCCCCCAAUGCCAAGUCUCCAUCUGUUAUUAGGAUAACACAGAAAACACCCUUGAUGUCCUCUCCUGGAAAAAUCACGGUCAAGGAGGAAGAUGAGGACGAGGAGGAGGAAGAGGAGGAGCAGGAGAGGGAGUUUGUU